UACGGGGGGGGGCAAGCGUUGUCCGGAAUUAUUGGGCGUAAAGCGCGCGCAGGCGGUCCUUUAAGUCUGAUGUGAAAGCCCACGGCUCAACCGUGGAGGGUCAUUGGAAACUGGGGGACUUGAGUGCAGAAGAGGAGAGUGGAAUUCCACGUGUAGCGGUGAAAUGCGCAGAUAUCAGGAGGAACACCUAUUGCGAAGGCAGCUCGCUGGACGUAACUGACGCUGGAGACGCGAAAGCGUGGGGAGCAAACGGG
rnacentral:rRNA from 1 species